GAUGAACGCUGGCGGCGUGCUUAACACAUGCAAGUCGAACGGAAAGGCCGAAGCUUGCUUCGGUACUCGAGUGGCGAACGGGGGAGUAACACGUGGGUGAUCUGCCCUGUACUUCGGGAUAAGCUUGGGAAACUGGGUCUAAUACCGGAUAUGACGAUCUCUUGGAUGGGGUUGUGGAAAGCUUUUGCGGUAUGGGAUGAGCUCGCGGCCUAUCAGCUUGUUGGUGGGGUAAUGGCCUACCAAGGCGUCGACGGGUAGCCGGCCUGAGAGGGUGUACGGCCACAUUGGGACUGAGAUACGGCCCAGACUCCUACGGGAGGCAGCAGUGGGGAAUAUUGCACAAUGGGCGCAAGCCUGAUGCAGCGACGCCGCGUGGGGGAUGACGGCCUUCGGGUUGUAAACUCCUUUCGCAAUCGACGAAGCCUUUUGGUGACGGUAGGUUGAGAAGAAGCACCGGCUAACUACGUG
rnacentral:rRNA from 1 species